UAGAGUUUGAUCAUGGCUCAGGACUACCCUUGGCGGCGUGCUUAAUACAUGCAAGUCAACGACUUUUAGAGCAUCAAUAUUUUAAAGGAAGUGGCGCACGGGUGAGUAACACGUAGGUAAUCUGCCUUCAGGACUGACACAACUCGUCGAAAGACGGGCUAAUAUCAGAUAAUGCAGCGGCUCCGCAUGGAGACAGUUGUUAAAGUACAAGCGCCUGAAGAUGAGCCUGCGGUCCAUUAGCUAGUUGGUAGAGUAACAGCCUACCAAGGCAACGAUGGAUAGCUGGUCUGAGAGGAUGAUCAGCCACACUGGAACUGAGACACGGUCCAGACUCCUACGGGAGGCAGCAGUAAGGAAUAUUGCUCAAUGGCCGAAAGGCUGAAGCAGCAACGCCGCGUGAAGGAUGAAUGGCCUUUGGCCUGUAAACUUAUGUAAAAAGGGAAAAACAGUCAGGUAUAUCCUGAUUUGAUUGUACCUUUGAAGUAAGCCCCGGCUAACUACGUGCCAGCAGCCGCGGUAAUA
rnacentral:rRNA from 1 species